rnacentral:tRNA from 1 species
GCCAGGAGGCGGUGCGCGGGAACCGUCGCCUGAUGGGCGGCGGGCUCCCUCCUGUGUACGGGACGCGGUUCCGGGUU